rnacentral:ncRNA from 1 species
UCGACUCACGAGCCGAGUGAUCCACCGCCAAGAGCCUUCAACUUUUUUCGAUUCGAUCGUCGCCGACCUCGAUCCGGGUCGCCGUGCCAACAAGGACAAGUCGCCACUACCGGCCGAUCUUCUCCGCCCUGUCGGCGAGGUCGAGCGAGAGCGUGCAAGUCGGGACCCGAAAGAUGGUGAACUAUGCCUGAGGAGGUUGAAGCCAGAGGAAACUCUGGUGGAGGACCGUAGCGAUUCUGACGUGCAAAUCGAUCGUCAAAUUUGGGUAUAGGGGCGAAAGACUAAUCGAACCGUCUAGUAGCUGGUUCCCUUCGAAGUUUCCCUCAGGAUAGCUGGCGCUCUGUCGCAGUUUUAUCUGGUAAAGCGAAUGAUUAGAGGUCUUGGGGGCGAAACGCCCUCAACCUAUUCUCAAACUUUAAAUUGGUAAGAAGCCCGACUCGCUCGUUUGGAGCCGGGCAUGGAAUGCGAGUGCCAAGUGGGCCACUCUUGGUAAGCAGGACUGGCGAUGCGGGAUGAACCGAACGCCGGGUUAAGGCGCCCGACGCGACGCUCAUCAGAGCCCACAAAAGGUGUAUGGUUGAUAUAGACAGCAGGACGGUGGCCAUGGAAGUCGGAAACCGCUAAGGAGUGUGUAACAACUCACCUGCCGAAUCAAUCAGCCCUGAAAAUGGAUGGCGCUGGAGCGUCGGGCCUAUACCCGGCCGUCGCGGCGGUACGAGCAUCGAGUUGGUGCGCUAGGCCGCGACGAGUAGGAGGGCCGCGGCGGCGGGCGU